UUGUCCGGAUGCAUGGGCGUAAAGGGUGUGUAGGUGGUUUGAUAAGUUAGAUGUGUAAUACCCAGGGCUUAACUCGGGUGCUGCAUCUAAAACUGUUAGACUUGAGUACUGGAGAGGAUAGUGGAAUUCCUAGUGUAGCGGUGGAAUGCGUAGAUAUUAGGAGGAACAUCAGUGGCGAAGGCGACUAUCUGGACAGCAACUGACACUGAGGCACGAAAGCGUGGGGAGCAAACAGGAUUAGAUACCCUGAUAGUCCACGCUGUAAACGAUGGAUACUAGAUGCAGGAGGUAUUCACUCCUUCUGUGUCGCAGCUAACGCAAUAAGUAUCCCGCCUGAGGAGUACGGCCGCAAGGUUGAAACUCAAAGGAAUUGACGGGGGCCCGCACAAGCAGCGGAGCAUGUGGUUUAAUUCGACGCAACGCGAAAAA
rnacentral:rRNA from 1 species